rnacentral:rRNA from 1 species
UACGUAGGGUGCAAGCGUUAUCCGGAAUUAUUGGGCGUAAAGAGCUCGUAGGCGGUCUGUCGCGUCUGCUGUGAAAACUGGGGGCUCAACCUCCAGCCUGCAGUGGGUACGGGCAGACUAGAGUGCGGUAGGGGAGAUUGGAACUCCUGGUGUAGCGGUGGAAUGCGCAGAUAUCAGGAAGAACACCGAUGGCGAAGGCAGAUCUCUGGGCCGUAACUGGACGCUGAGGAGCGAAAGCAUGGGGAGCGAACAGG